AUGUUAAAGUUUCUAAUCCACCGUUUCUUGUCCUCUAAACGAACGGCGCACCAGAGAGGAUGCGUCGGGAACCUUCUGUCACCUUUCCUGGAGAAAUCCGCGGGCAACUGCGUGUUUCCCACGGCGUGUUUCCAACUUGCCGUUCUUAUGCAGCACCGACCGCCCGUCCACGGGCAACCGCGUGUAUCCCACGGCGUGUUUCCAACUUGCCGUUCUUAUGCAGCAACGACCGACCCUUCCCACCGAUUCGUUCUUGUCGGCCACAACUAAGAAGGAAUUCCAUCUCAGCCGUUGCUUCUUUCCUUUACACUCUGAUCUGGAUCGUUGGCUGCCUCGCUUGAAAUCUAUAAGUGACGGGACUCCCUCCCCUUCCUUGCCACCGUUGUUUUGGUUUCUGGUAUGCGUCGUUCCGCGUCUCCUUAGCCACCCGUUGAUCGUCGAAGGCGGUGCACCCAAUUCCUCAGCCGUCCGUUUUUCGUUGAUUUCGUUUUCGAAUUGGAUGAUCUGUUCUCGAUAGGUGGUGCAUCCAAAGCCUUUUAAUCGUUGAUUUCGGAUUCGGGCACUUGAAAUUGGUAUUGCGCGAAUCGGAAGAUGUGAUUUUGAUGGAUGGUAGAUCAAAAGCCUUUCAAAUCUUGUGGUUUUCGUUAUUGAUCUGUUGAAAUUGGUCUUGAACGAAUUGGGUAAUCUAUUUUCGAUCGAUGAUGGAGCGGAAAAUUUUGAUAUAUGUCGUUUUAGUUUUCGAGCACUUCAAACACGAAAUUGGAUGAUCUAUUUUCCUAAGAAAUACGGAAGGUUGAGAGGGGACUUCACAAGUUGCAGGAUUUUUUAUGCUCCUAGUUUUUUGAAAGAUUAAAUUAUCCUAACUCGCUAGUACCAUGAUCCCAAAUUCUCGAUCUCUCCUUUGUGGCAGAUUUUAUAUAUAUCAUCGACGCGGCUGGUGGUUGGUGAGGCUGUGGUGUUUAUAUGGUUUUUAUCUGUAUGGAGCCCACACGGAGCCUGUGAUGAAGAUUGUUAAGGAUCCUCUGGUUUCCGUUGAAUGAUAAAAAUAGGUUUUCCAUUAGAUAGUGGUUUAUUUAAGGGGUUUCUUUGCUGUGACACACACCGCUUAUUAUCAUGGAUGCAGGUCUUCAGAAAUGCUCUGAACAAUGGUUGUGUCCGGUUUGUGCUAGUUUAGUCGGCCCUCGUUACUUUCAACUAUCAUUUGUUGUACUUAUGUGCACAAGUCAGUUAUUUUGAUACGGUUCUCAUCAAAAUAUGGUUGUUUGUUUUAUUUGUUGUGCAAGGGAAAGCUGAUGGACAUCUAGUUUUGCAUGGGCACGUGACAGUAUCUUUUUGAAAGAGAGAUGUGAUUGUUUUGCUCUCUUUUGGUAUUUGGUUUUAAUGGAAGAGGUUCCAUUAACUUCUCAUUUUUUCAGCAUUGGCAGUUUAAUUUGUUGAUUAUUUUCCCUGUCUACUACUUCCGUUGGCAUGCUUGGUACAUUUUAUAAAUUUGCACUUUUGAUGUGAGUCUUUCUCUAUGUUUUCUGAAUGUUAAAUUUGCACAUUUUAUAAAUUUGCACUUUUUAUAAAUUUGCAAAUUUAUAAAUUUGCACUUUUUAUAAAUUUGCAAAUUUAUAAAUUUGCACUUUUUGUUUGCAGUUGCAGAAGCAUCAGCAUUAGCCAUAAGUCUGGUAAAUAGACAUGGUUACUGACCUUUCUUGGAUUGUAUUUGGUAUGAGAAGUGGGUUUACAUUUUUGGUAAGGUUAGUGUAGAUUUAGGAGUCCAAAUUAUGCCCAAAAAUUUGAGAUUUUAUGUUUUUAUCCAAAUGUUAAUUGUUCUUGUUGUCAUGAAUUUUCAGCAGUUACUUGCUGGACUAGUCUUAUUAGAAGAUCAUUUGAACUUCUCAUUUGUCUCUUCUGGGAUUCUUUGUCAGAUAUCUACUUUGCAGCUUAGUUGUCUUUUUGUUUUAACCUGCUUCUGGUCAGGUCAUGAGGUAUUUGGUUCCAGUUAUCUUGUAGAUGUUUUUUGAGUAUGAUGAUGAAUCAUAGGAAAUACGGAAGAUUGAGAGUUUAGGAAUUACGGCAGCUUCUAUUUUUUUUUGAUAAGUAAAAGUAAAUUGAUUUUGUGUAAAGUUUCUACAAAUAGUUUUGUCUAUACAAGUUAUAAACGAAGCUAAGUAACUCGUAGAGUACUCAUGCGGUAGUUAUGACUAAACAUGCUGUAGACUAUAACUCUUAACUAUGGCCAACAAAUAAAAUUUAAAGUCCAGAUAUACCAAGAUUUCCUGUGGGUAUAGCUUUUAACAUCAUGCCCAAGAUCUUUAGCUAAUAGCAAAAUUGAAUUUAAUAAAAAUAUCUUUUUCUCUUUGUGUAAGGUGCUCCAUUUUCAGAUCGUUCUCCAUACAUGAUCUUGAGUCUCUAAUAAUCUCUGUCAAGAGCUAAGCAUUGUUUGUGUGUUGACACUCAAAGAUUCUGCUACAUCUUUCCUUCCACAUCCACCAAAUAGCGCAUCUGAAUAUAACCUUUGUCAAUUGUGUAAGAGGCCCUUUUCUUGAAAAAUAUUGCAUGAGGUCAGCUAAUUCUUGAUGCAAGUUUGAUUGCGGCAUUUUAUUGAGUUCGAAUCGCUGGAGAAUCUCCUUCCAUAUCCAUUUAGUAUAGUCACAAGCAAAAUAGAGAUGGUCAACAGUUUCUUCUUGUUGCAUGCAAAGGGAGCAUCGGUUAACAUGAUGGAUACCUCUUCUUUUCAUAUUGUCUAUUAUAGGUAAUUUAUUCAGAAGGGCCUGCCAUGUACAUAAGGAAUGUCUCUGUGAUCCCGGUCGAUCCCAUGUCCAACUGCUUGGGAGCCACUUGUUAUUUCUUUGCCUAAUUUGAUUCCAUGCAGAUGUGACACUAAAUUUGCCAUUGUCAUGAAGCCAAAUAAAUACAUCUGAAGGGUUGUUCCUGAUUAGAAUAGCUGUGAUAGUCGGCCAAAGUGAUAACAUUUCAGGAGAAAUAGGAGUAGGGAGACACCAGGUACCAUUAGCAAUGAACUCGGAAACCUUCCAAUCUUUGGGAGCCCCAAGGUCUUUUCGUAUUCUGUCACCAUAUAAUUGAAAUAUACUUUUCCCAUUCACCCAAGGAUCGUACCACAUAUUAGUAUUAGUUCCAGUAGAGAUUGCAUAAGAAAUGUGUUUGAUUAGCCAAUUCCUUGGUUCUAGUUGAUUCUAGUUGAUUCUAUUGGUUCUAGUUGAUUCCGAUUAUUAUUUUAAUUACUUGAGGUUUUCCCUUGCCAGAGGACUGCACAGUAUUUAUGGUUUAUAUGCUUCUAGUGCUUUGAAAGAUUGAUUGUUAUAACUCAUGAAUACCUUGAUCCAGAAUUCUCGAGCUCUCUUUUGUGGCAGAUUCUAUAUGCAGUUGGUGAGGCUGUGUUGUGUAUGUGGUUAUUAUCUGUAUGGAGCCCACACAGACCCUAUGAUGCAGUUUGUUCAGGAUGCUCUGGUUUCCUUUGAAUGAUUAAAAUAGGUUUUCCGUUAGAUUCUGUUAUAUUUUAGGGGGUUCUUUGCUGUGAAAUACACUGCUUAUUAUCAUGGAUGCAGGUCUUCUGAAAUGCUCUGAACCAGUGUCUGAACAAUGAAUAUGUCCAGUUUGUGCUGGUUUAGUUGGCCCUCAUUACUUUCAACUAUUAUUUGUUGCACUUGUCUGCACAAGUUGGUCAUUUGAUACGGUUCUCAUCAAAAUAUGGUUGUUUGUUUUUAUUUGUUGUGUGCAAGGGAAAGGAGAUGGACAUCUAUUUUUGCAUGGACAUGUGAGUAGUUUUUUGAAAGAGAGAUGUGUGUGUUUUGCUACUUUCCUAUGGUAUUUGGUUUUAAAUAUGCUCUAACCCUUUGAUCAACUUUGCUGUGCCUGUUGUAUAUCUCUAGUUGGAUGUAGACGGGUCUCAAGUAAGAAGUUCCAUUAACUUCUCAUUUUUUCUGCAUUGGCUGUUUAAUUGUUGUUUAUUUUCCCUGUCUGCCACUUCUGUUGGCAUGCUUGUGACAUUUUAUAAAUUUGCACUUUUGAAGUUAUUCUUUCUCUUUGUUUUCUUAAUGUUCUAUUACUAGUGUUUUUGUGUGCAGUUGCAGAAGCAUCAGCAUUAGCCAUAAGUCUGGUAAUUAGACAUGGGUACUGUCCUUUUUUGGAUUGUAAUUGGUAUGAAACAUAGGUUUUACCUUUUUGAUAUGGCUAGUUUAGAUCUAUGAGUGCAAAUUAUUCACGAUUUUUUGGGAUAUUAUGUUUUUGUCCAAAUGUUAAGUAUUCCUAUUGUUGUUAAUUUUCAGCAGCUACUUGCAUGGCAAGUAUUAUUUGAAGGUCAUAUGAAUUUCUGAUUUGUCUCUUCUUAGAUUCUUUGUCAGACUUGUAAUUUGCAGCUUAAUUGUCUUUUUUUUUUAACCCGUCUUGAGGUAUUUAGUUUCAGUUAUCUUGUAUAUGUUUUUUUAAUAUGACACUAAAUAAUAAGAAUUACAGAAGAUUGAGAGGUUAGGAGUUCCGACAGCUUCUAUUGGUUAUAGUUGAUUUCAAUUAUUAUUUUAAUUGCUUUAGGUUUUUCCUUGCAUUCUCUCAAAGGACUUCACAAUUUGCAGGAUUUAGGGUUUUUAUGAUCCUAGUGCUUUGAAAGAUUAGAUUGUCAUAACUCGCGAGUACUGUGAUCCAAAAUUCUCGAGUCUCUUUUGUGCUAGAUUCUAAAUGUAUCACUGAUGUGGUUGGUGAUGCUGUGGUGUUUAUGUGGUUAUUAUCUGUGUGGUGCCCACACAGACCCAAAGGUGCAGUUUGUUAAGGAUGCUCUGCUUUCCGUUGAAUUAUUAAAAUAGGUUUUCCAUUAGAUAGUGUUAUCUUUAAGGGGUUUCUUUGCUGUGACAUACAUUGCUUAUUAUCUGGUUUGAACAAUGGGUCCUCGUUACUUUCAACUAUUAUUUGUUGCACUUAUGUGCACAUGUUGGUGUUUUGAUAUGGUUCUCAUCAAAAUAUGGAUUGUUUUUAUUUGUUGUGUGCAAGGGAAAGGAGAUGGACAUCUAGUUUUGCAUGGGCAUGUGACAAUAGAUUUUUGAAAGAGAGAUGUGAAUGUUUUGCUACCUACCUAUGGCAUUUGGUUUUCAGUAUGCUCUAACCCUAUCAUCAACAUUGCUGUGUCUGUUGUUUAUCUCUUGUUGGAUGUAGAAGUUUCUCAAGGAAGAGGUUCCAUUAACUGGCUGUUUAAUCGUUGAUUAUUUUCCCUAUCCUACUACUUUCGUCAGCUUACUUGGUACAUUUUAUAAAUUUGCUUUUUUGAAGUUAGUCUUUCUCUAUGUUUUCUGAAUGUUCUAUUCCUAGUGUUUUUGUUUGCAGUUGCAGAAGCAUCAGCAUUUCCCAUAAUUUUGGUAUUUAGACAUGGUAACUGACCUUUCUUGGAUUGUAUUUGGUAUGAAACAAUAGAUUUUUCCUUUUUGACAAGGCUAGAUUAGAUUUGGGUGUGCAAAUUAUGCACGAAUUUUUGAGAUAUUAUUUUUUUGUCCAAUUGUUAAUUAUUCUUGUUGUUGUGAAUUUUCAGCAGUUACUUGCUGGACAAGUCUUUUUAGAAGAUCAUUUGAAUGUCUCAUUCAUCUCUUCUGGGAUUCUCUCAGAUUUCUACUUUGGUUAGGAGUUAUGACAGCGUCUAUUGGUUGAAGUUAAUUCUGAUUAUUAUGUUAAGCACUUGAGGCGUUUCCUUAUGUUCUCUCAGAGGACUUCACAAUUUGCAGCAUUAAUAUUUUUUAUGCUUCUAGUGCUUUGAAAGAUUUGAUUGUCAUAACUCACGAGUACUGUGAUCCGAAAUUCUCAAUCUCUUGUGGCAGAUUCUAUGUAUAUUAUCAAUGUGGUUGGUGAGGCUGUGUUGUUUAUGUGUUUAUUAUCUGUUUGGAGACCACACGAAGCCCAUGUUGCAGUUUGUCAAGCAUGCUCUGGUUUCUGUUGAAUGAUUAAAAUAGGUUUUCCAUUAGAUGGUGUUAUAUUUAAGGGGUUUCUUUGCUGUAACAUGCUGCUUAUUAUCAUGGAUGCAGGUCUUCCGAAAUGCUCUGAACAAUGGAUGCAUCUGUUUUGUGCUGGUUUAGUUGGCCCUCACUACUUUCAACUAUUAUUUGUUGCACUUAAUGUGCACAAGUUGGUCAUUUGAUACAGUUACUCAUCAAAAUAUGUUUCUUUGUUUUUAUUUUUGUCAAAAGGAAAGCAUAUGGGCAUCUAGUUUUGCAUGGGCACAUGAGUGUUUUGCUUUGGUCCAAUGGUAUUUGGUUUUAAACAUUAUCUAACCGUCAUCAGCAUUGCUGCAUCUGUUGGAUAUCUCUACUACUAAGGUCAGCAAGCUUGGUACAUUUUAUAAAUUUGCACUUUUGAAGUUAGUCUUUUUCUAUGUUUUCUGUAUGUUCUAUUCAUAGUGUUUUUGUGUGGUGUUGCAGAAGCAUCAGCAUUAGCCAUAUGUCUGGUGAUUAGACAUGGAUACUGACCUUUCUUGGGUUGUAUUUGGUAUUAGAUAUAGGUUUUACAUUUUUGAUAAGGCUCGUUUAGAUUUAGGAGUGCGAAUUAUGAGUGAACUAGAUAUUUUUUUUCGUCCAAAUGUUAAUUAUUCUUGUUGUGAUGAAUUUUCAGCAGUUCCUUGGUUGGCAAGUCUUAUUAGAAGCAAGCUUUGCGAUUUCGAAUCAUACCGCCCGUAUCGGACAGUAUGUACCGGGCGAUACGCGGACUGCUCGCUACUGAGCGGUCCACUCGAUAUAGUCCCGUAUUAGACGAUACAAGGGUGUUUCGGGCGGUAACGGUUGAAAUUUCGAUCAUUACCGCCUACUACUGCGUGGUAUCAACCUAGCUAUGGCGAAGUUGAGGGAGAAGCAUCGAAGAAGGAAGAAGGAGAGGGUGUUCAAAGAAGAGGGAGAAGAAGAGAAAACCAUUUCCAUAUUGGGUUAAUUGCAUCCAUUGGUAUUCAAGUUUGGUUGUAGAGGUUGUCCGCCGAUUUUGUUGAAUUUUCUUGAAUUCCAUAGAGCCAUGGUUUCCAAUGGCCUGAUGGCUGUUCAUUUAUUGCCAAAAUGCAGUCCAACCAUUCCACGGAAUUACAUUUGGAUGGACAUUAUUUUCACUUUGACUUUGUGAACCUUUGCUCUUAAAAGUACUCUUUUGGGUUUUUACUACAAUAACAACAACUAUAAAACCGUAAGUCCUGAUUAUUUGGGCUCGACUAUUUGGAUCUUUUGCCAUCAUUGAAAUAUGUAAAAAGUUAUAUGUUUAGUUAAGUUUAAAGUAUUUAAAUCUUUAUUUAUAAUUUUUAUUAAAGUCUUUUUAGGUAUUUUAUAAAUAAGCUUGAUCGAAUAUUUCAUUGAUGAAGAUUCUUACAACCAUAUUUGAUACAAACAAGAUUUCAAGAUUAUUGUUUUGGUUAGCAUGAAGAAUAGAAGUUCUAUCUGCACUCAUAGUCAAAUAUUUUGCUUCAGCUUCUUCUUGUUCUUCUGGAGGGAGAUGUCUUUGGAAAGGGGGUCAAAAAAAUCUCAAAUUGUUUGCAUGUUGUUUUCGAUUGUAUAGACAAAUAUGUUAAGUUCUAACGCAAUCAACGUUAGGUCUUUGAGUUUAGUUUUUUUAGUAUGGAUCAAAAUGUUAUAGAUGAACUUUGUGAAGUUAUAAUGAUGGUUACUGUGUUUCUUUGAGCUAUAGAAUUUUGUUGCCAAUUAGCCAUGUGUUUAUGUAAUUUGAUAUUAUCCUUGGUGGGAAUGACUUGUCAGAGAUUAGAUGAACUUUGAAAGAUGGAUCAGUUAUGACCUGCAGCUCCACUUUUUCACUUCUAUCAUGUGAUGUGCCAGCUUUUGUUGUAGUGAACUAGUGAUCAUAUUUUUUAGUUACUGGUCAUCUGGCAUACAUUGGUUUGGAUAUUUUCUUCUAAUGGGUUUUGGCUUGUCAUCUGAGAAGUUCUUCUGGCAUGCUUUCUUUUGUGAGGGUAGAUCGAAAAUUUUGCUUACCCUUCCUUUGGAUCUUCAUUUUGGUUGCAAUAUCCAGACAAUGGUAAGAGCUUUUGCUGGAUCCUGUGUUUGAUGCAAGAUGGGCUUAUCCUGGCUUUGAUAAGAACUGUGGUUGCAAUAUAAGUUACAAUUUCUUUGCUUUUCUCAGGCAUAUUUUCUUCAAGUUUGAUAUGCAUUUUUUUUGUUGAACAUAUAUGUUGCAUUUGAAAUUUGUUUUGGGAAAACAAGAAUUGAGCAGCUCAGCAUCAUAUAGAUAAUAUUUUUGAGGGAAAGGAGUAUCUUUUCUCUUGGAAACAGUUUCAACUGAAGAAACAGUUUGGGUUGGUUCUUUUAUUCUGGUAUUCUGAAAUUAGUGAAUGAGUUCUAUGAUGAAGCAAAGAUGCACAAUACCAGGAACCAAGAUUGCAGAACCAUAUCUUCAUUGUAUGAUGGUCAAUCUUUUCUUCAUUGGAUUGCAGACAUGAAAAGGGAUAUUUCCUGUAUUUAUCCACUUUUAACGGUGGACAUAGAAUGAUUCACCUUUGUUAGUUUCCUGCAAUAUGACCAUGUAGUUGGAAUAUCUACAGGAAGCCUGUACUGUUUAUAUGUGUUGGGAGUAUCAAAACAAUGGGUGUUUUAUGCACUACAAGGCCUCUUGCCUUUCCCUUUA